rnacentral:rRNA from 1 species
UACGGAGGGUGCAAGCGUUAUCCGGAUUCACUGGGUUUAAAGGGUGCGUAGGUGGGCAGGUAAGUCAGUGGUGAAAUCCCCAAGCUUAACUUGGGAACUGCCAUUGAUACUAUUUGUCUUGAAUACCGUGGAGGUGAGCGGAAUAUGUCAUGUAGCGGUGAAAUGCUUAGAUAUGACAUAGAACACCCAUUGCGAAGGCAGCUCGCUACACUAUUAUUGACGCUGAGGCACGAAAGCGUGGGGAUCAAACAGG